rnacentral:rRNA from 1 species
AGAGUUUGAUCCUGGCUCAGGAUGAACGCUGGCGGCGUGCCUAAUACAUGCAAGUCGAGCGAAUGGAUUGAGAGCUUGCUCUCAAGAAGUUAGCGGCGGACGGGUGAGUAACACGUGGGUAACCUGCCCAUAAGACUGGGAUAACUCCGGGAAACCGGGGCUAAUACCGGAUAACAUUUUGAACUGCAUGGUUCGAAAUU